rnacentral:rRNA from 1 species
CUACGAAUGGAGCAAGCGUUGUUCGGAAUCACUGGGCGUAAAGCGUACGUAGGCGGUUUGUUAAGUUAGAUGUGAAAGCCCCGGGCUUAACCUGGGAACUGCACUUAAAACUGGCAGACUAGAGUUUGAUAGAGGAGAGUGGAAUUUCAGGUGUAGCGGUGAAAUGCGUAGAGAUCUGAAGGAACAUCAGUGGCGAAGGCGACUCUCUGGAUUAAAACUGACGCUGAGGUACGAAAGCGUGGGUAGCAAACAGGAUUAGAUACCCUAGUAGUCC